rnacentral:rRNA from 1 species
AUACGGAGGGUGCAAGCGUUGCUCGGAAUCACUGGGCGUAAAGGGCGCGCAGGCGGUUUGGUAAGUCAGAUGUGAAAGCCCAUGGCUCAACCAUGGAAGUGCAUUUGAAACUGUCAGACUUGAGUACUAGAGGGGAAAGUGGAAUUCCCGGUGUAGAGGUGAAAUUCGUAGAUAUCGGGAGGAAUACCGGUGGCGAAGGCGACUUUCUGGCUAGAUACUGACGCUGAGGCGCGAAAGCGUGGGGAGCAAACAGGAUUAGAUACCCUAGUAGUCC